CCCGGACAGGUGAAACCGGUUUCAACCGUCUACGGUUUUUCUUUGGCAAACAAAUCGCUUGACUGCAACGGCAACAGGAAGUUAUCAGGAAAUAUGUUUUCCUUCAUGAAAUUCGAAUAUAAAGGGCGUAGCUCAGUGAAAUGAUAACAGUGAAAGUAAACAGAUGGAUGGGUGAGGCGAUUACAGAUCGGAGGAGGAUGAGAGCUGCACGCAAAUCCAAUGAUCCAUCCGAUGAUGACUCACUGGAGGAUCUCGUGCUGCCAGUCCAUCAGAUUCAGUUGCGGCUUGAAGCGCUUCAGAGGACCUGAAAAAUAAAAUAUUAAAUUAAAGUAAAUGAAGUCCAAAACGAGAGAUUUCGAGUCUACAGGAAUUUGGUUAAUGUGUAG